rnacentral:rRNA from 1 species
GUUUGAGAUUUGAGAGGGGCUGCUCCUAGUACGAGAGGACCGGRGUGGACGAACCUCUGGUGUUCCGGUUGUCACGCCAGUGGCAUUGCCGGGUAGCUAUGUUCGGAAAAGAUAACCGCUGAAAGCAUCUAAGCGGGAAACUUGCCUCAAGAUGAGAUCUCACUGGGAACUUGAUUCCCCUGAAGGGCCGUCGAAGACUACGACGUUGAUAGGCUGGGUGUGUAAGCGUUGUGAGGCGUUGAGCUAACCAGUACUAAUUGCCCGUGAGGCUUGACCAUAUAACACCCAAACA